rnacentral:rRNA from 1 species
GAUGAACGCUGGCGGCGCGCCUAACACAUGCAAGUCGAACGGUUAAAGCACCUUUUUGGUGUGUAUAAAGUGGCGAACGGCUGAGUAACACGUGGGCAACCUGCCCUCCUCUUGGGGAUAGCCUCGUGAAACCGAGGAUAAUACCCGAUACUUCAAUGUUUCCGCAUGACGACAUUGAGAAAGCUUUUGCGGUGAAGGAUGGGUCCGCGGCCUGUUAGCUUGUUGGUGGGGUAGAGGCCUACCAAGGCAAUGAUGGGUAGCUGGGUUGAGAGACCGACCAGCGAGAUUGGGACUGAGACACGGCGCAGACGCCUACGGGAGGCAGCAGAGGGGAAUCUGGCACAAUGGGCGAAAGCCUGAUGCGGCGGCGCUGCGUGCGGGAAGAAGGCCUUGGGGUGGUAAACCGCUUUCAGCAGGGACGAGGCGAUAAGUGACGGUACCUGCAGAAGAAGCCACGGCUAACUACGUG